GGUGCAGGAGCUUGGGAUGCAUCUCCUCUUUUGCCUCCUCCACCUUGGGAAAUCCGGACAACUCCCUCACAGCCCCUGUUGCCCUGUGAUCUGUAGGUCCUUGGGGACGCAUAGUUAAGGUGCU
rnacentral:lncRNA from 1 species